rnacentral:rRNA from 1 species
GAUCAUGGCUCAGAUUGAACGCUGGCGGAAUGCUUUACACAUGCAAGUCGAACGACAGCACGGGGCAACCUGGUGGCGAGUGGCGAACGGGUGAGUAAUGCAUCGGAACGUGCCAUUGAGUGGGGGAUAACGUAGCGAAAGUUGCGCUAAUACCGCAUAUUCUGUGAGCAGGAAAGCAGGGGACCGCAGGGCCUUGCGCUCUUUGAGCGGCCGAUGUCAGAUUAGCUAGUUGGUGAGGUAACGGCUUACCAAGGCGACGAUCUGUAGCGGGUCUGAGAGGAUGAUCCGCCACACUGGAACUGAGACACGGUCCAGACUCCUACGGGAGGCAGCAGUGGGGAAUUUUGGACAAUGGCGCAAGCCCGAUCCAGCCAUGCCGCGUGAGUGAAGAAGGCCUUCGGGUUGUAAAGCUCUUUCGGCCGGGAAGAAAUCGCAUGGGUUAAUACCCUGUGUGGAUGACGGUACCGGAAUAAGAAGCACCGGCUAACUACGUG